rnacentral:tRNA from 1 species
GGUGUAGCUUAGUGGUAGAGUAUGUGGUUAACAUUCAUAGGGUCCUGGGUUCUAUCCCAGGCACCA